AUGAAAAAAUCAGUUGUUGCCCAAGAAACUACUCCAAGAAAAUCAGGUGCUGAUCUUAGUAAAAAGAAGAGUUUAGACUCAAGCACGAAAAAAGUGGAACCUGUGACUCCUAAUCGUUUUGCUGUUUCAGAGCAACCUUCUAGCGAUCUAGAUGACAUUUAUGAAUUCAAAGAGUCUGAUCCAUUCGAAUUCACUGAGUGUCGUAGCAAAUCAGGAUCCUCUGAUGAGAAGAACCCCAGUAAACUGACCCCACGACGUCCGAUAGUUCCGGGAAUUGCAGCUGCUUCAUCUAGUCCUAAAGUUGAUAACCUUGACUCCAGGAGCACUCUACCAACGCCCUCUGCCACACCAAAGAAAAAACCAUUCUCAGAUUUAUCCUCACCCCCGCCAUUAGUAUCCUUUAGCUCAGAAGCUCCUAGUGUUGUCAGUGUAACAACAAGUGUAAAACGGAAAUUUGAAGAUCCUAGCACUCAAGACUCGACAAAAGAAAUGAAAAAGAAAAGAUCUCCAUUUGUCGUAACUGUGCAAAGUGAUACUCUCUCAUCAGAAAAAGUUACUGAAGUAUCAAAAAUCGAUGCUGUAAAAUCGGCCUUGUUUGGUGGUCUUAUCGAUUCAUCUGAUAAGUCCAAGACUGUUGAAGACACAAGUAAAUCAGUAACCGAUGCAGCAAAAGUUGAGUCAGUUGAUAUGAAGCCAGCCAUCAAUUUAGAGGCAGCCAACACCGCAACCUCUCUUCCAGACUUAUUCUCAAGGAAAGACAAACUCACAAGUGCACUGGUUUCGUCAGUAAUAAAAUCAGAAGUAGACAAGUUAGAAUCCAACAGACCUACCUCAGAUAAUGUCGAUCACCCUGAAAAAUCUGAGACCAAAGCAGUUGUAGAAAAUGAAAAGUCGUCUAGCGUAGACUCCAAAGCCUACAAUGUAAUCAUCCGCCCGAAUCUCAAAACAUUUAGCAAGCAGUCGGCUUACAAGUACCCUCCACCACUGGUGCCUAGUAAAUCAGCAUUCUCUGCUAUCUCAGAAGAUAAACUUGCCGAUAGCAAAUCACCGGCGGUCCCUGAAACAGAUAGCAAGGUCACAACAUUUGACAGCUCCAGAAUCAAACUGUCACCCGUAUGUUCUCUAGUCCUGCAAAGGGCUCUGAUGUGGAAUCAGAUGAUAUCAAACCGUUCCUCUUUGAAACGCCAAAAACAUCUGAAAAAUUGA
rnacentral:lncRNA from 1 species